GUCCGUCACGUGGUCGGAAGCGGGAGCCUCGGGCUGCGAUCCCAGCCUCCUCCUCCCGUACCUAGUAUGAGGCCUCAGGUACUGAUCUCGGGCCCUCCCGCCUGAUUCACUGGACUUCCUCUUUCCUCCAGGUGUCUAUCAUAUUUUCAUCUUGCGGUGCUACCUUGAUCCAUCAACACUACCAUAAUCAGAAGGUGAAAAGUGGUUCCCAAAAACACUGCCCCUUGGACAAUACUGGGCAACUUGGAAGCUGUGAUUGGCCCUUGUGAAGAGGGGAAAGGACAAGAAGCUACCAUAAAAGACCCUGAAUUUCUGGAGCUAGUGAAGUCGAUUUCAAGAAAGAAGUCAGCUUCAAAAAGAAGUCAGCUCAAGGAAGAAAGUCAGCCUCAGUAAUCACCUUCAGCUUGAGUCAUUGUCUUGACCUGCCUUUUGGAGGGAACUUGGGUGAUUGGAUAGCUAGCUUUCCCUUCCUGUCUUCUGGAAAGAGUUUGUUUCUGGUUGAAGAUCAACAAGUCCUGGCAGAACUUAACAUUUAGCAUUUAGAAUAACAAAAAUAAAGCAUAACAAAAGGUAUGUAUGACAGAAAGGGCAAAGAAUUGAACCAAAAUAAUAAUAGCUAGCAUUUUUAUGCCAUUUUAAGUUUGGUAGCACUUUAAAAAUAUUAUCUCAUUUUAUCUUAAUAAUGACCCAGGAAAGCAGGUACUAUUGUCAUUAUCAUUUAUUUUAUAAAUGAAGAAACAGGUUAAGUGGUCACACAACUAAGAUAGCUUCUUAGAGCAUGUGACUCAGAUCUUUCUGAUUCCAGAUUUAAUGCUCUAUCCACAGUACCGUCUAACUUAUUUGUAAGGAAAUUUGAGGAGAGAAUAAUUUUCAGAAGGAGAGAGGGAAUCUUAAAAGGUCUCAUGGAUGAAAAGAUAUCUGAGCUCAACCUUGAAGAAAAGUAAAGUACACAAGACUGGGAUUUUGAAGGAGUCCAUUCCAAGAAUGGGAGAGGGCCUAUAGAGUUGAAAUUGAUAGAAUAUAAAACACAAAUACUGCGGUUUUACCAGCACACAGAAGGGAGUAAAAUUAGACUGAAAAGGAAAGUUGUAACCAUAAUGGAAGUAAGUAAAAAUAAAUCAAUUUAAGUAAGGAGUUUCUAUGGAGAAAAAAAGUAACUAUCAUCUCUUAGGUUACUUCUAGUUCUAAAAAGAAAGUCCUUUGAAAAUAAAUUUUUAUUUUUUAAGCUUAUUUGUUACAUUAAAAUCCCCAUGUAUCUCCCUUCCUCCCCAUACUAGAGAAGUCAUCACUUAACAACAUUUCUUUUUAUCAGGUUUUUUUCUUAUCCUGGGGUGGACAUACACAAAUUAUUCUUAAUAUAUUUCUAUUGCUGUAUGUUGUUAUUUUGGUUUUACUUAUUUCACUCUUUAUCAUUUCAUAUAGGCAAAUUCAUAAAGGCUGAAUUGCCUUUGGAAAAUGGAAUUUGAAAAAAAUUACACCAAGCUUUUUCCUGAAACAAUGAUCUAUCUUUUUAAUACCAGUUUUCUCCCCCAAAAUAUUGUAUUAUUUCAAGUCAUGAGUAUUCUAGUACUAUCUAAAGAUGAAGUCAAAGGGCAAAAGAAUGUAGCUAGUAAACAACUAGCCAGCUGCAAUCAAUCAUUCAACAUUUGUUAAGCACUUACUAAAAAUACCAACCUUUCUGAUAAGGGGUCAGGUUACAAACACAAAAAUAAAAUAGUCCUUGCCCUCCCUGAGUUUACAAUCUACUGAAGGAAAAAUAUCAAGUAUACAUUCAAAUGUAAUCACUAAGGGUCAAAAUGGGUUUAGCCUCCUGUUCUAAUGGGGCCAUUUUAAAAGCUCCAAGGUUAUAGUAAUUCUCCUCUUACAAAUAUAAUUAUGAAACAGAUGAAUGACUCAUGAUUAUGUUCCCAAUUAAAGAAAACCCUGGAUGAUGGGAGUGAUAAAUUUCAAUCCCACCCCUUCUCUAUAAAAGGUCAUAUUCUCUUAUAUAUCUCUGAGAACUCUUCAAUGCCCUCAUGUCCCCUGGAGACCCCAAAACUCCAGAGGAAUCCAGAUCAAAGAGUACAAAUAUGUGAAGAAUUCCCCAUUCUUGCACCCCAUGCAGUGUUAGCUAAAGAAAGGAACUAAAGGAACUGUAUGAUAAAAAGAGUCUCUGAGAGAUACAUUUUCUUAGCCUUUCCCCUAGCUUCCUGAUAAGCACAGAUAUGUACCUUCCCUUUGCAUCUCAGACAUCAAUUCAUUCCCUGAGAUUUACAAUUCACCCACCUUUGUGGUCAGGUGUCAGGUGAUACUGACAGAUAUGGAGGAAGGGGAUCCCUGAAGGGGUGAAGAGAAUGAAUGGUGAGGAUGAUGUGUCAAGAGGGUCACUGAAGGUGGUAGCAAUCAGAGGCUAGGUUUAUUGAAAGUGACAUAGUCUAAAGGAUUAGAUAAGCUUUUUACAUGAACAAUAGUUAGAAUAAUGAUUUACAAUCUUAGUACAAUGACUUUAAGUUUACCUCAUAGAAGCUUAGACAGAAUUUUCUGUAGGAUAAUGUGGUAGUAGUCUUUCGGUAACCAAGGAUGACAGUUGUCUUUGUGCGUUUUUGUGCACAAAGACACUUGUCCAUGAAGAUUUAAGUGGAAAAUAAAGUAUAGCAGGGAGGGGUUCAAAAGGAGAGAUUUGAGGGGCCUCAUGUGAGGAGUGAUUCUGGCCAGACCAUGAUUUGAUUUUACUGGGGUCCACUCUCACUCUUGAAAGCUACAGUCAGAGACUCCUGUGCUUUUCACAAUCAGGGACACCUAUGCUUUUCUCCUCACACCCCUUUAAAAUAUAAAAUCUCUGUAUCACUUCUCUUCAUUGAGGCAGAUUUUUACCUGCACCUGCCGCCUGUUCAUUCAACUCAUAUUCAAAUCAAUAAAUUCAACUUAAUAAGUUUCUCUAUUUUUAAAGAUAAUCAUCAAAGCCUGUCCUUCUUGAGGUAGUAACCUUCUUGGCCCAGUGUUAAUCUCAAACUCUUCCACAACAAUGCCAACCACAAAGAGCACAUAAAAGCAAUUAGGACAACCACAGCUGUUUGUGAGAAACAAAAUUAGAUCAGCUAAAUGCUAUCUUUCUUGUUUGUUUUUUAAAAAUACUUCAUUAUCUUUUUUUGUUCUGUCAACUAGAAAAAACACAGAACUAUUAAAUAGUCAAAAAUCACUCUUUAAUCAAGGGAAAAGGGGUUAGUGCUACUAAUACGACAACAGAGCUGCUUUCCAAGACUGCACAGAGUCAAGUCACCAGCCCCUGGGAAUGCCACCACUCAGGAUCACUCCGAGGAACAAAAGAAAUUGGGGAACCUAUAUACCACUCUAGAUGACCUGGGGGCUUUAGGAUUAGAGGGACAGUUGAUUGACUUUACAAUGGUAAGAAAGGAAAAUGAAGAGUUCCAGACAGGAAUAAUAGUGAGGGGCUGGGACCCUACAAUGGACACAAAAGGGCCCAGGACUGGGUCACCUUGGUCAUGGACCUUAGCCUAGGGGGAGAAAACAUUGGGACAAAAGGGAUGUUCAAUAUUGGAUGGGAUUAGCUGUUCCAACCCAGACUACCAGGAAGUUCACUGUCUGGUGAACAGGGACCUUCCCUCAGGGGGAAACCUCUCCUGUGACAAGGUCAAAACCUGGGGUUUCUACACUCAAACUAAAUAAACUGGGGAUCUCUAGAUUUCCAUGUUGACAGUUCCAAUAAAAUUUUUAAAUUAAUCUGUCCUUUGAUGGCCUUGUUUUGUGGAACCCCCAAAUUUACCUUUCUCCCUUGGGAACUUGCUUUUGAAGAAGUCCCAGACUGACCCUUGUUUUAGGCUGAACUAUAAACCUUAAAUACCCAAUGAUCUCAGCCAAUAUAGGGUCUUUCCCCAAGAACAGGAGAUUCAAGUUCCAAUCAAUCCAGAAGUAAGAAAAGAAUUUUAAUUGAAGUGGUUUUUUGGUGCUAUAAUGGCUUAAUAGUCUGGGGACUAAUCAGAUAGCCUUCAGGCUGAUGGAUAAACCCAAGGACUGGUAGAGUAGCUUCUUUGGAGCUAAUAGGAUACAGUAACAGCUCUGCUGAAGAGUGGCAGCCUUCACAAUCUGUAGAUCAGGGUUGGCAUAUUUAUUGGGAUCUGAUAGCUUGGCAUCUCCCAUUCUAAACUCAGAUGGAGGUACAUUUGGGGGUUUGUUGCCAUAGGGAAUAAGAAGCAUAUGCAAAAUCUAGGUCUUCCUCUGGAACACCAGAGCCCCCAAGUGUACAGGUUCCCUGUUCCCCUAUUAUCCAUGUUGUCAUCAUUUAUCAAUGCAGGAGAAGUCUUACUGCCCUUCUAGAAGGAGGACCACUAUGGGUAAUUAAUUAUUUCUAAGAACAAUUUGAGUAAUUAAUAAAAACAGAUUAGGCACAAAGCUGAUGCCUGGUGUAGAAUAUUAUGGAUCCUGUUCACAGAAUGUGUAAUUGAACAAUCUGCAAUUCAUGCUUGAUUAAUGCUGAAACUACAGGUUUUGUAGUUGUUUAACCAGUGCUAACUAGUGGGAAAUUCAAGAUUUCAGAGUAUGAGGGUCCCAUUCCUAUUACUACCCCUUACUGCCUAAUGUCAGCCCACAUCAGAAUUCUUCAGCUCAUUGGAAAAAUUCCCUUUUGAGGUGCAUUUUCCCACAGUAAUAGAGCUUGUCUCUAUGUGGUAUCUUGUGCAUGACUCCCUGUAGUGGUCUUCCUUGUCUUCCUUGUCCUGAGUAAAGACUUGUUCUUUCUAACUACCUUGGUAGUUCUUUGUUUUUCAAGGUUGACACCUUCAACUACCUAUCCCCACUGAGCAAUUUUUGUUAAUGGUAAAAAAAAAAAUCCUCAAUAAAUACAUAUCUAUAUAUGCAAAGCAAAUACCCACAUUAGGAACAUCUGAAAAUGUCUGUUUCUUCAUUUUAAGUGAAUCAGCUUUCUAUAAGAAGGUAAGAAGCAUGUAUCAUCUUCAUUCCUUAGGACUCAUGGUUUAUCACUAUGCUGAUAUAAUUCUGAAUUCUUCUUCUUAAUGUUGUUUUUGUCAUCAUAUAAAUUGUUUUCCUAGUUCAGUUCACUCUUCAUCAAUUAAGGUUUGCCUAGCUUUCUCUGAAGUUGUCCACUUUCUUUUUUUUAAAAAACCCUUAACUUCUGUUUUGGAGCCUAUACUGUGUAUUAGCUCCAAGGCAGAAGAGUGGAAAGGGCUAGGCAAUGGGGUGACUUGCCCAGGGUCACACAGCUGGGAAGUGUCUGAGGCCAUAUUUGAAUCCAGGACCUCCCGUCUCUAGGUCUGACUCUCAAUCCACUGAGCCACCCAGCUGCCCCCCACAUUAUUUCUUAUGGCCUGAUAAUAUUAUAUUACAUUUUGUCAACCUGAAAAAAAAAUACAACUUCCAAAGUAGUAAUAAAAAUGAGCCUGUCUUUAAUUCUAGCAGAUAGAUUAUAAUCUGGGGAAACACACAGGACCAUAGCCCUGAGACUCACACUGAACUGUAGAAAAGGAGAUGAUUAAAAUUUAGGAAAGGGGAAAGCCAAGUUUUAUGACUUCACAAAAACUUGGGAAAGACACAGAGGCUAGGGUGACUGGGACAGUCCACUUGUUCUAUAGGUUUGCUUGUUUUCUUUAUUUUAGUUUCUGAGAUACCAAUUUAUAGUCAACUCAGUCAUUAUCCUCUUUGUUUUAACAUACUAGAAAAGUCAGUAAGGAGAUUCUCUGAAAAUAAUGUUGUCAAUUUAUAUGCCACAAUUUUUUAAAAACUAUUCCCCAAUAGGAAGAUACCGCCCUAGUUUCCAAUUGUGGGUUAACAAACACACACAAAAAAGAGACAUUAUAAACAUUUUUCUCUAUAUAGAUCCUUUUCCUCUUUCUUUGGUUCCUUUGGGAUAUGUGUCUAAUAGCAUUAUAUCUGGAUUUUAAAAAAUGAAGAUGCAAUCUUUAUCAAAAUAGAAGAAAUUUAUGUUAGUCACAAUUAACUGAAAAAAGGGCCUCAGUAUUAGGACCACCAGUUCUUCCAUGUCUGUUCUUUAAUCAGGACAUUAGCUAUUUAGGCAAGCCCCAAUUUAACUACUUCAGUAUUCUUAGUAGGUAUGGAUUAAAAAAGGGAACAUCCAGUUUUUCCUCCAACUCAAAACAGGCAUUUCAACUCUUAACAAGAUUGUUAUAUAAGUUAAAACAAAAUAUAUACAAAGUAAUUUUUGGUCAUUUGGGAAACACUAACUAGUGAAGAGAUUGGGAGUUACCUAAUAUCUAUAUACUUUUGAAAACUAGUUAUUAUAUUUGUGAGACUAUUCAGCCUAAAAAAAUGCAUAUUUUUUUAAAUUUAUGGAUUAGCAUAAGACUCAUGAACCCCCUUAAAAUAAUAUCCUGGUCACACAAUUGUCCAUAUCACCAAAGCUUAGAAAGAACCACUCUAGUUGUUUUUGUUGUUCUUGUAGUUUAACAUUUGUUCUGGUCCAUCUAUUCUCUCUCAGGGUUGCUGAUUGGCUAGCCCACAUAAUUUACCAAUCAUACUAUCAACACUGAAAAACAAAACUAUUAAAGCAGUUAUAAAAGGAUACAUCUUUAAUCAGGACAAGGGAGACAGAGUUCUUAUGGCCACCACACAGGGCCAAAUUUUGGGACCCUGGGAACAAUAUCUCCAAGAAAAUGCACCACAAGUAGGAAUCUCCAUCAUGGGAAUUUCUAAGGAACUGAAGAUUGUGGGGUCUUAUAUACACUUUGGACAAUAAAGGAAAGGAAGGACAACUGAUUGGCACAUAUGGUGAGAAGAAUGACCACCUACUGAAAAGAAUCUUGAACAUCAGUGGGUCAAAGGCUCUUUUUUUCAUUCUCCCAAGAAUGGACACUCAUAAGACAAUGGUACAGCCAGCAAGCAAAUACAAAGAAUGGGAGUAGGCAACCUCCUUUCUAUCCUAGUGUCUGCUACAAAGAUGGUCCCUCCCCUCAUUCACCAUUGGUUUACAAUCCUAUCCUGAAAGCUAAUCAAAAUGCAAAUUUUACAAAACCAAUUAUCCUAAUUAUUCAAGUGAGUUUUAACCAAUCACAACAAGGACAGUUUCAAUCCCAUCUAUCUGUAUAUACUGUAGCCAUGUUGGUGAAGCCAUUGCAUGGAUUCCCAGGCAUGCUGGGGAUGGGGAGAGACACUGCUCCAAUCCCCUCUCCACAGCUCCUAAGGACAUUUUUCACAUGCCACAUUCCUCUGCCCAACAGCCAGAUAUAAGCUCCCUCAGCUCUCCUGGGUAAAGGCUGGGUGGGAGGGAAUCAGGGGUGGCCUGACAGGCAGCUUGAAAGUGCAGUUUGGGAACUUGAUUUCAAAAAUGUUCCCUAACUCUUUCCUAUAGCCUUUUAACAAAUCAAAACAAGGAUAGUUUCAAUCUUAUCUAUCAGAAAUGGACUUAGGGUGGGAAUGAAGUAACUGAUUAUGAUCCCAAGUAUGAAACCAAGACCAACAAUGUAACACACAGAAGGGAGUUUAUUAAAGCAAACUGCAGUUUGGGCACAGCACAAUAAAUGGCUGGCACUGGGUCUGGGGCUUGCAGGCUUUUUAUAUACUUUUGUGGUAGGGAGAGUGCAGAGGAAUUCCUGGGGUGGGGAAGUAAAAAGGAACUUCUGGGGCUGGGGUCUUUAUCAGUUCCUAGCAUAUGUCAGGAGGGGGAAAGACAACAACUCCUAGUGUUAGGGGUCAGGGAGGGGAAAGAAGGGGUUUGGUAGCUGGCUCUUCAUUCCCUACUUAUUCUAUUGUACGUGAGGAAUCUUCCUCAUGCGACGGUAUCCUCAUAAGAGGAUUCAGGAGGAGUCAGAGUUUGAAAUUGCUGGUGAAGGACCAUAGCUGGACAGUAUUAAUGUGAUCCUUGGAGGCGGAGUCAAUAUGGUGGCUUAGAAGCAGCAAAAGUUCAGACCUCUGAAAACCCUUCCUUAUCGAUCACAAACUGAAUGCUCCUGGAAACUGAAAUUCAAACUUAACAACAGGACAGAGGUGGGGAACCCUCCUUCUGGACUCAAAUCAAAAGGUACACCCCCCAAAAGCCGGAAUCUGAGAACACUCGAGUCUAAGGGGAAGACAGAGGAAAGGUCCCAGGACCCCUCCCCCCCAACCCAGAGGGCUGAGCCCCCAGCGGCAGUGGGAAUCUCUGGGUGGGCAAAGGUGCUGCUUUGGAGGGUCUACCUUGUGAGCAGCAGGGUGCCGGGCUCAGAGCAUCCAGUAUGGACAGCGGGGAGGAAGCUAGGGAGAGACCAGGGGCCGUAGCUGGGUCCUUUCAUCUGGCUCCAGUCUUACUGUUCCCUCAGGGCACAUCCAGACCAAUCCAGUUGAACCUAAUCACAUCAGGACUCCUCAGAGCUCAGGGAGGCUGGGACCCCUGCCCCCCCAAGAGUGCAGGACCUCUAGCAAGGACAGGAACCUCGGAGAGGGCAAAGGCAUUGGGGAACCUUGCGGACAGUGGAGAAGCAGCUUGAGAGAACUGGAAAGAGCCUGGGCGGCCCAGCCUUCCAGGAGUCUUCAGCCUCAGAGCACAUACAGCCCAACCCAGUUGAACUUAAUCCAAUCAAAAGCCUCCAGAGGACAGGGAAGCUAACAUUCCUCCCCUAGAGACUGUACCAAGAGGUCUGACAAAGCUCCAAGAGGGGAGACUGACAGGCUCAAAACCAAAACAAAAAAAAAAAUGAGAGGAGCAAGAGCACAGACAAAUACAGGGAGCAAAGAAGGGGUAAACCUGAGCAAACAACAGAAAAAGAAGAAAGAAAUUACAAUAGACAGCUUUUGCACAGGUAAUGAACAAAGAGCGAAUGAAACAGAGGGGGAGGGCUGAGCAAAGGAAAAAUCAGAAACCCCAGUGAAUUGGAUACAGGCUUUGGAAGAACUCAAAAUGCAAUUCAAAAGACAAUUAAGAGAGGCUGAAGACAAUUUGGAAAAGAACUUAAAAACGUAGAUAAAUCAUCUGGAAAGAGGCACUUGAACUAAAACAAGAAAAUGGUAUCUUGAAAGCCAAAAUCAACCAGCUGGAAAAUGAGGCAAAGGAGAUGAAAAAUGAGGUGAAGAAGAUGAAAGAUGAGAAAAAGGAGAUGAAAGAUGAGGUAAAGAGGAUGAAAGAUGAGAAAAAGGAGAUGAAAGAUGAGGUAAAGAGGAUGAAAGAUGACCUCCAAAGAAAUUCAGACCAAAAGGAAAAGGACAACCAAAAAGCUAAGGAUGAAAUCCAGUCUUUAAGAACCAGAAUACAACAACUAGAAUCAAGUGACCUCACAAGGCAGCAGGACACUAUAAAACAAAACCAAAAGAAUGAAAAAAUUGAGGAAAAUAUGAAGCAUCUCAUUCACAAAACAGAGGAUUUAGAAAAUCUUUCAAGGAGAGACAAUUUAAGAAUCAUUGGUCUACCAGAAGACCAUGACAAAAGAAAAAGCCUGGACAUUAUAUGACAGGAAAUUAUUAAAGAAAACUGCCCCAAUAUCCUAGAACAAGAGGGGAAAGUGGAGAUUGAAAAAAUCCACAGAUCACCUUCUAUACUUAAUCCCCAACUGACAACACCCAGGAAUGUUAUAGCCAAAUUCAAGAACUAUCAUAUGUAAAAAAUAGACUCGAAUACAGGACUACAAUCCCCACGAGCCUUUGCUCCACUUCCCCAGAAUGCCUUGUAAUCUCACCUGGGUCGAGAUCGAGAAGGUAUUUAAGCUGAUUCAAAGGCUUUUGAGGUCUCUUGGCUCUUGGACUUCCGUUUUGGGGCAGGCGUGGUUUUUUUCAUAAUGUAGGUGAGGUUGUGUCUAGGCCACUCUAUAGCCUGGACACGUGUUUCUUAUCCUGUAUUUUCUUUAAUCAUUAAUCUUCAAUAAACCUCUAAAAAAUAUAAUACUCCUUGCAGAGAGAAACUAAUUUCUACCUGCCUCAGAUGCCUCAGUCUCCCCCUCUCCCCUAAAUUUUAAUCUUUACACAGACCAAAGAAAAGAUAUUACAAGCUGCCAAGAAGUCAUUCAGAUACCAAAGAACCACAGUGAGAAUAACUCAGGAUCUGGCUGCAUCCACACUGAAAAAAAGAAAGGCAUGGAAUAUGAUAUUCUGGAAAGCAAGGGAACUAGGUCUACAACCAAGAAUCAACUACCCAGCAAAACUGACUAUAUUCUUACAGGGGAAAGUAUGGUCAUUCAACAAAAUAGAAGAAUUUCAAGAAUUCGUAAAGAAAAGACCAGACCUGAACAGAAAAUUUGAUGUCCAAGCAUAGAACUCAAGAGAAUCAUCAAAAGGUAAUUAAAAAAGAGGGAAAAAAGUAAAACAAAACAAAACAAAAUUUUUAAGAGACUUAAAAAGUGAAAAUGAUAUAUAUCCCUAUAAGAAAAGACGUCAUUGGUAACUCUUAAAAACUGUUGUUAUUACCUGGGCAGCAAAAAAAAGUACACUUAGAGGGAACAGUGACAAACUGUAUAGGAUGAAAGGACAAGACAUAAAUAGGUAUAUAGAUAUAUGCAUGCAUAAAUACAUACACAUGAGUAUGCAUAUAUAUACAUAUAUAUAACUAGAGCUUAAAAUAGGCUAAUAUUAAAAGAAAUGGGAAAAGAAACAAGUGGGGGUAAAUUUAUAUGUCACAAAGAAGCUCAUGGUGGGAGGGGGGAGAACAUCGAUACACUGGAAGGGUAAAGAGGUCAGAGACAGGAAAUACUCAACUUUUACAUGCUUUGAAGUUGACUCAAAAAGGGAAAAACAAUCCAAUCCAUUGGGGGCAGAGAAUAGAUCUGUUCCCUAUACAGGAGUAGAAGGAUAACAAAUGG